GCCCUAGUGGCGGAAUGGUAGACGCGCUCGACUCAAAAUCGAGUGUCGAAAGGCGUGGGGGUUCGAGUCCCUCCUGGGGUA
rnacentral:tRNA from 1 species